rnacentral:misc_RNA from 1 species
GUUUGGUUAGAAAAGAAAUUAGGGACUCGAGUGGCCCAAUGCAAUGGUUGAAAUUAGCUUCAGAUCUCUCUCUGUGCCAACUACUUAGAGCCCUCCGUCGAUCUAAUGAUGAGGACUCAGGAUAUGGGCUUGAUACAAGGAGACGAUUAAUAUUUAUCACAAAUUAUUUUUGUAAAAUUAUGGCAUACGCCCAGCAUAGCGUGAUGAAGUUGAACUCUUAACAACAAUGUGAGUCUCACAUGUUGGUAGACCUAAUUAUUGUUUGUUAGAAGCUUACUAAUCCCCCUAACCCAACUUUUUUUUCUCUACUUUUAGUUUUUCUCUCCUGUUUCUUGCCGUUUAGUGGUCACCUCUGCCCCUUCUGGGUAGGGGUGGCCUUCUCCUUCGUACCCAGAUGUGGGUUUCCCUCUCCCACAUUUGGGUGGGUUGUGUAUAGUUAUUUUUUGGGUUGUUUUGCAGGUUGGAACUUCAUGGUUGAGGGUGUAUGUUUGAACCUACUAUGUUAGGUUAGUGUUCUGUGAUCUGUAGGAAAGGGAUGUCUCGGAAACGCUCAUGGAGUUGCUCUUGUAACUCUCGGUCUCUUAAAGCCUGCAAGGCCUAAACUCACCCUCCUUCUUUGUUUUCGGUGACCAUGGCCUGCUUUCGUUUUUUACAGGAGCUGCUAGCAUAAAUCCUUCUCUGAUCAGGGGAUCUUUUGCUGGGACAUCCUUCAGGAGAUUUGGCCAAGUCUAGUCCUUUGCGGUGCACCAAGCUUGGUGCUUGUUUCUUCCCAACAGAAGGGUCUACAACUCCUCUGGUUUUGGUGCUCAACCCAGUGCGUCAUGGUUUUGAUUGUGUCCUAGCUUGAUGGCAAUUCCUUGAGGUGUAGUUUGUGAGGUUUCUUUUUUCAGGCGAUGUAGCCAUAUCUCAUCCCCAUUGGUGCUUCAUGAGGGGAUCUUUCUCCCCGCCGGCGUUGUGGUUUGUCCGUAUGUGGCGCUUGAGCCUCGUCCUGUAGGAGGUGUUGGUUUCUCUUCCGGGUAUGGGUUCGGAUAUGGAGAUACAGAGUUAGGGUUUUCUUUUGGGUUGGGCUUACUUGUACGUUGGGGGUUGGUUAAGUUCAAGCUUCGGCCAUAGAGUUUUCUUUGUACUGGGCUUAGAAGUCUUCUUUUAAUGAAUGAAAUCUAUCUUAUGGGAAAAAAAAU